GUUCCUACAUAGAGAAUUUUCUACUUAUCGCCGAAUCUUUAGUUAGCUUCAAAGAUGUUUUCGCUCGCGAUUUUAAUCCCAAAGACAUUCGUUAUUCGCGUGGAUCGUUUGAUUUGAAAACGAACCGUAAUCGUCUUAACGGCGAAAGCAGCUUAGCAGGUCUCUUGGAACGGAAUCGUUUCAUUAAAAAUAAAUCGACGAGUUAAACGCGGCAUUUUUACUCCAUACCCUCCAUACUAGACGAGAAAACCAAUCCUAUUUUAUAACGUUACUAGAGAAAUCUUAUUGACGCGAAGAAAGGGAGGAAACGAAAUGGGCUAUAACGAACCGAUCGAUGACGGAAGCGCACCUGACUUAAUGAUCCAACUAUCGAGUAUUAUUAAUGCUUUACAGCACUUCUUUAAAAUCAAUUUCUCUUCCCUCUUUUUUUUUGUUUUUUUCAAUUUUUCACGCUAAGAUAUAUUAGAUAUUCGCGCAGAGAUCGGUAGAAAAUUUUCUCGAAUUUUUAAGAAAUUAUCGAUAAGACAACACGGUAUCUAUUUAAAGAUUACGAAGAAAAUUCGCGAUAAGUCGAUUAAUUAAUCAAUUAUAUAUAUAUAUAUAAAAUUUUUUGGAUCGAAGGGCUUUUUAACAAUUUUCUAUAUUACAUCCAUCGAGUUGAAUGUAAAUAUACAGUCUCGCGAAAUCAGGCUUUGUCAAUAUAAAUUUUAAUAUCUGUUUUCUCGGCAAUUUGUACGAAAUGUAAAUAAUGUCGUAUUUCGCAGCGUAUGUAUAUCUCGAGCACUAAUAUUAUCGUGUUUAUAAAUAUUCCCAUCUCCAAUCUUUCCCGCGUAUAUUCGUGUGUAUCGACGACGAACAGUUCAGUGUCCCGCGCGCGACGCAAUCGAACACAAAGCUCGUCGAGCUCCAAUUUCGUUCUUUCGUCGGGCCUUUCGUCGCUUCGAUCGCUUCCUUUUUCGCGUAAUGCACGCACGAAGACCCGCCUUGGAAUUAAAGUUAAAGUGCGCGCACGAUUUAAUCUCGAUCUGGGGGGAAGGAGGGGGAGGGGACGAGCCAUUAAAGCCGAGUGCACGGCCCAUUGUUGCGCGGAACAUUGUCGUUGCGCAGGUGCAAAGCCCUCGAACACACGACCUGUUAUCGGGAUACCAACACGCUAUCUCGAAGGAUUAAUCGCGGCCUCUGCUUUUCCAAAUUUCAUCGAAAUUCCCUCCUAUUGAUCCCGAAUGCGAAUUUUUCGGGACGAGAAUUUUUUUGAUGCGAACACGGAACGCGGCCGGAGAAGAAGAGGAAGGUUAAAGAAAGGAAAGAGUUCCUUUCGGUGAAGGGAGGGAUUAAUUCGCGCGGCUGACACGAGCCGACGAUCGAUCCUCGAAGCGAAAGGGCUGGAUUCCUCCCGUUGACUUUGCAAGGGUUGUUCCGGCCACGUCAAUUUGUCGUGAUUCGAGUGGCGUGUAUCGACAGUUACCCGACCCGGCCAACUUCUGGUUACUUGGUGUAAUUGGCCCCGCACGUAGAUUACCAUGUUACCCACGGGAGGGAAGAAAACCGUUCCUGUUAUCGACAACAAUCCUCGAUUUCUCGUCUCUCCCCCCCUCAAAGUAUCUUUCCCGAGUUUUUGAAACUUUCCCGAAUUUGUCAAAUUGUGCGUGAAACGAGCGUGUGAAAGAGAGAAGAGGAUCGUGAAGAACAACGUGCGCGCGUGUUCUCCAUUAUUUUCAUUUACGACGUCGGGCUUGGUGUCACGGUGUGACGUCGCUCCCUCUCCCCCACCUUUUUUUUCUUUUUUCUUUCUCGUCGGGGAUCGUCCUUGUUGUUGCACGCGCGCGCCACCGAAUCGAAUCACCGCUCGGGGUAAACGUAAUUUCAGAAGGAAUAAACUACGUGGGAACACGAAAAAUCGCCAUUUCGCGGAUGUUGGGCCGCUCGUUAUUAUUAAGGCCUUCGCCCUCCCGCCCUUACACAACCCCUUCUCAACCCGUUCCUUUCCAUCCACGAGGAAUCGCGUUCGCCCGCGUUGUAUCGCGCCGCUACUUUGGGAUCGGCUGGUGGUGGGUCGCUCGUUGCUUUAAUCAUCGAUUUCACGAUGAUCCAGGGACGCCUUCCGACUCGCGUGGGCCGGCCCCCGGAUUUAAUACAUCUCGACCCGUUCACGGCUCGCCACGGUGCUAUUUAUCUGGGCCAACCACUGUUAUUUUUUUCCCCCAUGCCCGCCGCCGUUUCGCCGCACAAAAAAGGAGUUUCGAAACGGCGAAAAGCCCGCCGGCGGGAUGUUCCAACCAACGUCCGACUAUUUCUUUUUUUCUCUCUCCCUCCCCUCCCCCCUUCGCUUUUCGAGUCGCUUCCCGCCGAAUUGAUCCCCGCAUUACAAAGAAACGGGUAUAUAAUCUAUGCAUGGAACUUUUGAUAGACUCUCCGCAUCGGUUUAAUGACCGUUUUACGCGUUACAAAGAGUUCCUCUCUCGCUCGUCACCUCGUUUUUUGGCAGUGUAUUAAAAUUUCAAUUUCGAUCGUCUCUCUCUCUUUUUUUUCUUUUUUUUUUCUCUCCGUAAACGUUCCAUAAACGGUCUCGAAUAUAUCCAUGUUAUAAAUAUAAUAUUCCGAUAGAUUAGCAAAGAGGGGUGGGUAAUUGUGUACGUAUAUAUACGGUUGUUUACAGAGAAAUGUAUAACCCAAAAAAAAAGCAAUCCGCGCGCGUUGAUCGAAUUGCGGUUCGAAUCGAUGUUCGAAACGUGUUACGACAUCACGGAAUGGAAUGAGAGAAGAUGAAAGAUGACUCGUGAAAUGAUCGUGGACGAAAAAUUUGGAGGUUUUUUUUGAAACGUUUUUGUAUUCAAUUCGUUCAAAAAAAAAAAAAAAAGAUCGAGGAAUUCUCCGGACGAAAUCGAGAUUCGUUUCAAUCGUAGGAAUCGUUGUCGUUCAUUCGUCGCGAUUUAACACCUUUAAACAGAGUUGUAUGUACAUUCCACGAUACGUAAAAUUUAUAUAUGGGUUGGGGAGGGAGUCGGUAUCCGAUAAUUCAUCUGCGAUUACACGAGAGCACCGAAACGUCGGGUGGAAAUGUAAUAACGCGCGUAGAUCAAACAACGAGAUCGGUGGUCGGGAUACAGAAGCGAAGGAUACAACAGGGGAACAAAAUUAAUAUUUUAAUAUCGGAAACGAUUAAAAAAAAAAAAAGAAAGGAAAAAUCGCUUUUCCUUUUUCGUUGGAAAAGGUGAUUAAAGAAACGGAGAUUCGAUCUAAAUGCCGAAUAAAACUCGGAUCUAAAGUCUUCCGUAAAAGUUUAUUCAAAUGAUAGCUCGAAACCCGGCGUUUUUCCCCUAUCUAAAAUUCUGCCCGAUGAUUUACGAUAUCCUUAUUUAUGCACCUAGCGUUUAAUAACGGCACAAAACGGAACGGCCACGACGCGUCACGCGACACGCCUCGGGUAUAACCUCGCUAUUUCGAAAAAAAACUUUGUCUCCUUUUGUCUCUUUCGAAAAUCCAAUUCGUCCAUUUAUAAAAUUUUACGUCACUCACUUCCAUUUAAUAAUAAUCGAUACGUUUCGAAUUAAUUUGCAAACAUUUCAUAUUUCGUAUUUCGUAUCAAACUUUCAUUCGCAAUUAAUUUUUCGAUCGAUCGAAUCGUAUUAUUAUCGACGGUGAAACAUUUACAACGAUCGACUUUGGUUUUUUUAAUUUUUUAUAAAAGUUCCUCGUUGAUCCGGAUGAAAAAAAAAAAACUAAAGCGGAACUAAUCCAGGCACGCGUCAGAAAUAUUACCGAUCGUUUACCGAAAUAUCUUGUAAUCGAUGGUUUUUUGGUCGAUUAGAACGACACGAAAGCGCCAUUCGCGUGGAAAAUGGCCAGGCGAAAUGAGGUCCGUGACGGGGGUUACACAGAUUCAGUUUUAGCCAGAAACACGGGACGCGAUUGAUCGAAACCGAAUCGAGGAAUUCAUUCGGAAUUUCCCUCCUUUCGCGACCGAUGGCGAAAAAUCAAUUAACCAAGCCCCGAGGGGAAGAUUAUGAAAAAUCGUUUUGAUUUUAGAUGGUCUGGUAACCUGCGUGACAGCGAAACGGAACGGGAGAGAGGGGGAAGUGCAACGAACAGCGAAUCGGGGUGAUGUAAAACGCGGCUCGUUGAUCCGCGCGCGAGCCGAUUCUUUAAUCGAGGAAGGAAUCUCUUUGUGCGCGAAACAAGCGGGCAGAAUCGGUCUCGGAAGGGACGGGAGCCAGCCGAAAAUCGGGGGACGAGAUCGUGCCCGUACUCUUGCACGUAUUUUCGUCCUCGCGCCCGUUUCAUCCUCUCCUCGACUGGACACGAGCGAAACGAACGAUCUGACAGAGGAAAAAAAAGAAAAAGAAAGAAAGGAAGGAUGUAGGAAGGACGAAGGGAAGAAACGCGUGGAAAAUUGAUCGCUUGGAGAAACGUGAUCGUUCGUUUGUGGACGAAUGAUUACCGUCCGCGUCACGAUGACCAGCGGAAAAGGAGAAUUCCUAUGGGAGAUGUAAUUGGAAAGCUUUCGAAUAUUAAUCGAUCGCGUCUUGAAAAGGCUUGAUUAACGAUUGAUGAUAUUAACGAAACGAGACGAUUAACGUGCACGGAUUACUUUCUCGGCAUUUUCCAUUUUUUUUUUCUUUUAAUUUCGAUUUAAUCGCGGUAUUAUUGUUGAUUAUUUACGUUAAUUAAGAACGGAUAUUAUUUCAAUUGGCGCAUUAAUUGGUUACGUUUGUUCGCUUUUUUCUUUUUUUUUUGAAGCGUGAUAAAUGAGUGUUGGGUAUAUAAUUAAAAUUGCCGUGCAGCAAAUCUGACGAAGAUUGGAAAAAAAAAAAAGGCGGACGCGAUCUGCAAUUUGUUUCAGUCGGAACGAGCAAUUAAUCGAUCUUACUUGUUGUCUACGUACUUCGUCACGAGGAGUUCGAUCCGCUCGUUUUGCGAGUAAGAUGCCGCGAUUACGUUCCACUUCAUAGUUGAAUGGGUUGUAAAGUAAUUUCAUUCUUCGAUGCUUGUUUUUUAGCGCGGAAUUUCUAAACGAGCAUUUUAUGUUCUUCGUUUUAAAUCUCUUUCUUUUUUUUUUGGAAACGCACGAUGCUAAAUUCGAUAUUAAAUUUUUUCGAACAGAAAUCUAUCUUGGACGAUUCGAUUUUUUAUCGUGGUAUAACAUUUACGUUUAUAUAUAUUUUCGUUACGCGAAUAGCUCGUAACGAAAACAUAUGUACACAGUGUAAAUAAAUGGAAAAGAUUUAGUGCAGAAUCUCGAAAGGAAAUUGAUUUCAGAUUGUGUCGUGAUUGCUGUGAGACGAAAGGGUGUGACGAAUGUCGACGAAAAAGCCUCUGUUCCAGAAAGAAUUUUCCCCAGGAUAAUUUCCCUCGCAGACACCAUAAGGAUGUGUGUGCGACGAUCAUGUCAGAGUGGAGAAACAAGAGAACACAACACAACAGGAGCAUCUCUUCCGUAGCAUUCCGGACGGUGACAAGAGUAAAGGGGAAAAAGAUCCAUGGCAGCACACACGUUCUGGCGUUCUUUUUAUAUGUAUGUAUAAUUUUGUUUUUUUUUUUUUUCCUUUCCAUUACGAAUCAGACCUGGAAUAGUAGCGUCGCAGAAGGAAUUCUUAACUCGCGAUAUGUUAUUCGUAAUAUAACAAAUAAUUAUUAUUCUCUAACGAACGAAUCUCAAUCGAAAUUUCGUUUAUCUUUCGUAAAAAUAUCACGUUUUAAAAUCUCCUUCUGCGAAUUCUCCAGUUACCGUCACGAUCGUGAUUCUCAUCAACGAUUUUUCGAUUAUAUAAAUCGAAGAUAAAAAUAAAUGGCUAAAUGCAAUUAUGCAAUUAUGCAAUUACGUAAAAAUUCGUAAUUUCGAUCGAAUGGAAAUCUCUAAUGGAUCAUUGCAACGAAUCCGCUAACUGGCCAACGCAAAGCGUUGCAAUGAUCGAGUAUAUAAAAGGUAGCACGAUCGUGGCUGUAACCAGCUGUACAAACAUCCACCAACUCUCUCCAUAAGAGUUUUAUGUAUUACAUAAUAAACUUGUGGCAUGCAAUUUGGUCGCUUAUGUGUCAAUAUGGAGCAAGGAUAUCACGGGAGGUGCGAUAUGUACAUUGCUUAUUUACAAAAAAAAAAAAAAAAAAAGAAGAAGAAGAAAAAGAAGAAAUUCUCAGUUUUCUCAGUAGUGUUACCAGUAGUAUUCGCCCUCGUAAAUUUUCGCCCGUUCUCGCCCUACCUGUACUCUGUUCUACCGAUUUCCUACCCUUAUAUAUAUCCGCCAUUCCCUUACCACCCCUACAACCCUGUUCCACGAGAGUAACGAGAAAUAUUCGUUGGACUUUCGCCGCGUUCUCGUGAUUGGAAUACUUUUAAGUACCUAACUGGGAGCUCUCUAACUCUCUUGCCUUCUCUUUCACUGCAUCUCUCUCUCUCUCUCUUUUUCUCUCUUUAUCCUUUUCUACGUUCAAGUCUCUUCCUCUUAAUCUGCCAGGGGAUUAAACGAGUUUUGUCGAGAGAACUUGAGGAUAGGUAGAGAACGUGUGCGGAUACAUUUUGCGUGUUGUUCUUAAAACGAGAUACAUCGAUGGAUAUGAUACGAUAAUAAGACAAUUGUUGUUGAUAUGAUCGUUGAUUCUUCGAAUAUGAAUUUGAGAGAUUUCGAUCGAUGUCUCUCUCGUUUGCAAAAAUUACAUGGUAAAUAAAUUUUUGGAUAAUUAAAUUUCCUUUCCUUAAAAAAUUUAAAAAUUAAUCUUGGAGAAUUGUUUGCGAUUAUCGGGGACGAGACAAACUGAUUUUCUUUCCUUCUUUUUUUUUAAGAACGAUAUUUAAGCGAAUUUUAUCGAAGCAGCGUAGAAAAUUGCGUAGAAAAUAAUAGAUUUUUUUUUAUCGAUCAAUCACGAUGUCGUAAACGCGUUCUCACGAUGGUCUCACGUUGGGAGCCGCAAUGCGUUAAUAGUUUAUCGACGGUCGAAUGCUUGCUCGCCAAUUACAGUCCACGUCUAUUAACCGUUUCGACCGGCCAUUUAAGGCAACUAAUGAAAAUCCCGGCGGAGUAAGCCUCGUUUUGCUCUCGAUCGUCCUACACGAGAGAAAAAAUUCCGAGAGGGUAACCGGACAAACAUGUUGGAGUGUAUUUUUUGAAUAAAAAAAAAAAAAAGAACGAAUGAAAAAUCCGAAUGAGAAACGCUUUCAACGAAGAACAUCCAGAGAGACUAGAACGAGACGAAGAGAGAAAUUAAAGAGAGAGAGAGAGAGAGAGAGAAGGGUUAAAAAUCGGGCGAAAAAGGUGAGAGAGCGACCGCGACAACGACUAUGAUCGCGUUAACGUUUUUUCAAUUGAACGAAAGAGUUAAUUUCGCGAUAAUACGAUUAUCGAGGGAAUUGGCGCGGCUGCAAUUAGUUUAGGCUAAAUGCGAAGCCCGGGAUUGCGGGUCGAGAUUGGAAAGGGCCGGCGAAAAAAAAUACAGAUUGAUCGAAUUAAAGGAAAUCGGCGGAGGGAGGCAGCAUGGCGGGUUGUAAUUUUCGAUCGGUCGAUGGAGAUUGACACGGCUUAUUCCAUGCAAAUGCAAUUAUCGUGGAGAGUUUCGAGUUCGCGAGAAAUUAGUCGGAGAAACGAGACGAGUCGACUUUUCGAGCGACGAUCUGCCUUGCUUCCCCCGUGAUCUCGGUUUUAUCGAAACGAAUAUAAAUAAUAUAUAUUUCGAUCGAUAUUUGUCUCAUUGUCUCCUCGAUAUUGAUGCGCGUUCUUGAAAAAUUGCUCGUGAAAAUAAGAAUUUUUAUCAAUAACGAAUAUCGAAAGAACAGAUCUAGCUCUGGCAUAAGCGUUUCCCCCAUUAACGCGAUGUGUUUACUUACGAUUUUUCUCUGACUCGUCCCUCUGUUUUCAGGUAUGUAUGAAACACCGCAAGGAAACUCACUACACGAGAGAAUGAAAGGAUAAACACGGAUAACUAUCGAAACCUUCCCCUUAAUACGCGAAAACGUAUACCGAAAGUUGAUCGUUUCAUUAUUAGCCGCUCUCUCAUCCCGAUAAAACGGAGGAAAUUGUUUAUCAACGAACCGUGCAGCAAGGAACCAAGGAACCAGGGAGGAUUUCCUUCCCAUUUUUCCUCUCACUUUGUCUUCUUCUCGAUCGCGGGUUUGGAUUUUGAUAAAUAUCAAGGAGAGGAGGAUGGAGGAGACAUCAUGGAAGACGUUCUCGUAAUUGUUCCCGGCCCGAGAUUAGGUCCGAUGAUUGCGAUACGAAAUUACGUUCUUCUCACGUUUCCCUGCCACGGUUAAUUAUCCUCCUUGGAUACGAUGACGAAUCGUGAAAUUGUUUAAUGUAUCUACGUCGGAUCGAUUACGCCGUAUCACAUCCCCCUCCCCGCGUACCGUGAAACAAUCUCUUUUCUCUGCCUACCCUCGCCUUUUUUCUAUUCCUGUCUCUCUUCUUCUUGUUGUUCUCGUCCAUGCGUCUUUCCUUCUUUUUUAUUUUUUUUCAUUUUUUUUAUUAUUUUUUUUUUUUUGUUCUUUUCUCUCAUCGAUCGCUCGUUAUUAAUUGGCAAACUAACAAGCAGUCAGGAAUCAGAAAACGUUGAAUUUAAUUUCCGAACGUAACGAGAAUCGACACGCGUCCCGCGUGUAUCAGUUUGUGUCAUCGAUUAUCGUCGGUGUACAACGGUGACUGAAUAGAAAUAUCGCGAAAAUAUAAAUAUUAAGAAUGCAAACAACGAUCGUGCUGCUCUAAAUACACACAUACAUAUAUAUAUAUAUUUUAUUUUUUUUUUUAUUUGCAUCAUUCAGUCAAAUCCAGGCGAUCGUGUCGUGUUUGUUAAUCAAAUAUUAACGUUCGUAAUUCCUCCAGUCAGUGAUCGUGACUGCAUUCGCGUUAAAGAAUCUUUAAAGAGGUACGUUCCUUCUUUUUUAUUUACUUUUUAUAAUGCUUCGAAUGAUGAAUGAUUAAACGUCGCUGAUUCUCAAUCGCGAUAAAGAAAAAGAAGGAGAAGAAGAGAGAGAGAGGAAAAAAGAAGUUUAUAUCUCUGAAAAAAGAAGUUUAUAUCUCUAGAAAAAAAGAAUCCUGAAGGAUCUCCAAGUUUUCGAACUGGUUCCCUGGUUGGUCCGAGUUAACGAGGGGAAUCGAAUCAUCGAGUGGCUAUUAGCGCAAUGUAAUUACUCCGCGAUUGCGCAACCUGAUGGAAAGAAUCCGUUCCCAGAAGGUUCAGGACAGCAAGCCUUUCCUCGAUGAUCAUUUUCUAUUAUGAACCACGUGUACCACGCGUUGAAAAAUUUGAAAGAAUGGAAUCUUUGUCACGUAAAUAUUAAAUUAAUAAUCGCCAAUGAAAGGAAAAUCAAGAACGCAAGGUAUAUUUCGAGGGACAAAAAGGGUGCGUCAGAGGAAGGAAGGGAGGAAGGUUGGGCACGGAAGGAGGACGGCUCUCAUAAAUUUCCCAGACCGGACUGGAACAAAAGGACGAUCGUACGCCGAACAAACCGGCGUAAAAAAAAAUCGUCCCUACGUGCAUAUAUAUAUAUAUAUAUAUAUAUAUAUAUAUACAUAUACAUAUAUACAUGUAUACGUAUAUAUCUUGAUUAAUUCAGAUACUGUACGUUCGUGUUGGUUGCUCUCUCGCGAGGGGAUACUCUUGUUGCGCAGACAGUCGAGAAGAGGAGGGAAACGCGGUUGAAACGCGGUUCCCGUGCCCUCCUGGUCCGACACGACGAGCGACGGGGAAGCAGGAAGAAAGAGACGUCUAAUGCACAUCUACGGCUAUCACGAACGACAUAAUUGCGAGGUAUACUUCAUUAAAUGAGAUCGUCUGAGUCGGUGGGCGUGUACGCGCCCCGUCUCGUCAACGUUGAUUCCCGGUCCUCGCGCUGCCACGAUGUGUUGCACGUACACGUACACGCUCGUGCACACAUCUGAAGGAAAGAGGGCGGCCGGGCUCUCUUUCCAACCCCCACCGCCCGUCUCUCCCGAUACGUACGCGAUCUCUUCUCCGCUCUCCGUUCCUUUUUCUCACCUUUUUCUCCCCCGCUACAUCUGUCCAUCCUCUUUCGAUUCGCGCGCGCCGCCGGUUCACGUACACGCGGGCACACACGCCAGGUUUAACCCUCUCUGCGACGACGAGCGUACUCCACUCGAAAGCUUUGACAUCGGAGACGUCGGCAAGUACAUCCGGUGGACGGAUUUAUCGGAUAUUCUUCCCCCGUUCUCAACGAGGGGAGGGGGGCAGACGAAAAAUUUUAACCGCGAUAGUAGAGAGAGAGAGAGAGAGGAGUUAUUAUCGCGUCGAAGAGAAUUUUUGCGACGAUUUCAAGAUUCCAAGAUUGCGUUGUAAAAAUUGUCCCACGGCGAGUUUUGGCGGAAGCGAAUUUUGCUUCGAAAGGGGGAUGUUUAUUAAACGCAUAAUAUUCGUUGGAAAAAGAAAAAAAAAAGAAAGAUCUCCGCCGCAUGAUCGACUCCUUUGUUCACGGCUUGCUCCGCGUUUAAUUGCUAAUUACAAAAUUCUUUGUUACUCCCAUCAGUGUCAAAUUGUUCUUUUCUACGUCGAAGAGGAGGAAUUUUGUUUAAUUAGUCUGCAAGUCUUUCCGCCUCGUUGCCUCCGUCGCCUCCGCUCUCUCUCUCUCUCUCUCUCUCUGCAGUCUCUUGAUAUCGGUAUUCCUUUUCCCUCUCAUUUCGGAACACGAUCGAGAGAAGUGUAUUGAUUGUCUCCGUGUAUGCGAGCGACGCGACGAGUGACAUUUUAUUGGGUUUAAUCAAGAAGAGAAACUGUCGGCAAUUUUGCUUGUAUACCUUGGUAUAAUUACCGAUUGUACUGUCCUCUUGGCAUUAUUAGAGGAUAUCGAACACGAGGAGCACAAGGAUGAAGAGUGAGAUGAAAGGAAAGGCGGAAUAAUUGUACGCAGAAGAGCGCGCAAAGAUGCAAGGGCCCGAGGGACCGGUCUUCGAGUCCAGUUCCGAUCGGUCGUACGUCUUCUUGAGAUACUGCUCGUAUCGAGUUUCCUGGAGGAUCGACGUAUAUCGUUCUCCACGUCGGCGUGGGGGCAAGAAACGACGAGCUGUAGAACGCCGUUUCCCACUGCGGUGGACGCAGCGUUUCGCGUACGGUAUGUAGCCGUACGGGACGACACCGCCCCCAUGGGUCAAAGACCAUUGACGGGGAGGAGGGAGGAAGGGGGGCUAAUAAACGUAGCACGUGUCUUCCCCAUCGAGCGGAAACUUGUAAAUGCAGCUUCGAUACUACGCUGCGCCGAGUUAAUUAAAGAAACAAUGUGUCCAAUUCUCCCCCGCUCUUUCUCCCCCGCUGCUUUCAAUGGAUCGAACGAUAGAAUUUUAUAACGAACUCGUGCACUCGACGGAAAAAUUGUUCCUCUUCCUCUUCCCCCCCUCCUCUCCCCGUUAACUCUUGUGUAAUUUAAUAUUCCAUAACUUUUUUACUCCCUCCCUUACUCCCGUAAAUUUUUCCUCUGUAAAAAGGAGUAAUCGUGUAAACGAAGGAAACGAAUUGGAAGAACGGCGUAGCCAUAAUAUGUACCAGUAAUGGCUUUUCUGUUACAGUAUAUAUAUAUAUAUAUGCAAUGUACGGACUAUAAAAAAGUUGAAAUGUUAAGUGAAAUUGAUGAAUUCGUGAUGUAGAUUAAACGCGGUAUUAAACUCGAAGGAUUAAUAUGAAAAAUUCAUCCGCUUGAUAUCGUAUUCCGCGAAUUUUCCCAGCGCGUUUGCAAAAUUGCACGGAUUCACGUUCGAAUUUUAAGGGGAGAUUCUCUUUAAUCCAGCAUGGCGGAAUGAAAAAGAAGAAGAAGAAGAAGAAGAAGAGGAAGAAGAAGAAGAAAGCAGGGUUAGGAUAAAGAAUCUACGAGCGCGUUUUAUAAGAUUUCGAGAGUGACUUAAUAAGUUGUACGACUGUGCUCAUCGAGCGAGAAAGUAGCGUCGGGAAUCGCUGAAAGAAGACUAAUGAACUUGUUGGCUCAUGGCCGAAAAGAGGGUCAUUUCGUGGUUCUUAACCACGGCUUGAAUAAAACGGUCAUUUUGUUCUUGGCAACUUGGUUUGAAAUUUUCAAAAAAAAAAAAAAACAAGAAAAUGCAUCCGCCAUGCCGGUUGACGAGGAAUUUGGUUGGAAUAUUAAUUGUUUUAUAAAGUUAAAUUAACGAUAAAUUUUGAAUCUCUUUUAUUUAAAUCUUUUUAACGCGACACGAUACUUAUUAGACACUUUUCCCCGAUUUUCAUUUUCAACUUUGUCUAUGAUUUUCGGCAUAAUUAUUCUUAUUAAAUCGUCUACAGUUUCCGAAAUGUGCUUCUAAUGAAAAUGCACAGUCGGUCAAAAUUGAUCGUAAACGGAUUGGUCAGUGCGAUCGACAACCAGUGACCGCGUUCAAUAUACCGACUUAAAUAAUAAACGGUUCUCGGGGACACAAUGUAAACGCGUGCGUGUAUCUUGGUUAGCGAAGUACACAGAAUGAGGAAAUCGGGCAGCGAAAUGCUUGAGGAAGAUCAACAACGCGUUGAAUCGUUGAGGUGAAGUGGAAAGUUUGGACAGGAGCGAAGGCGGUUCACUUGGUCUAAAAACUUUCUAAAUUAGAGUAUAGUUUGGAAGGCAAAGAGUGCAAUGAUUUUUAACUAGUAUUCUUUUGGUAAAAAUUUCAGAAAAUUGGUUGGAAGUUUAAUUUAAAAAAGAAGUAAGUUGUUUAGUUUUAUUAACCACAGGCGACCUCAAGCUGAUUGAAGUGGAAUAUUAAAAAAAAAAAAUGCGUCGAAGGGAAUAUUAAUUGGCCAGCAGGAAAAAUUUGUUAUUGAAAUUAAAGAAGAAACUAUUAUCUAUCGUUACCGACCAUAAUUGGACUGCGUAGUUUUUGUUAUAUUGGUGGAACGAGAUUAAUUUUCAAAAUUGGUAAAUCUCGACAGCGUAAUGAAGAUUUGAAAAGGUUGCGUAAUAAUAUUGCUCUGAAAAUUUUUAAAGGGACGUGCAAAGGAUGCUGUAAAAUUAUUUUGAAAUUUUUUAAUAAACGACAAUAAAACAAAACUCGAGGAUGUAUUCCAACAAUGUUGCAACGCCUCUAAAGAAUGCGAAUUUGCGAUGUAUGGGGCGGAUUGCAACUCUGAAUAUGUGUGUGUCCUUUAUGUUGGUUUGAAGCUAUAGUUGUGGUUUGUAACAUUGUUGCAGUGCGCCAAAAUUAAAUGGAAUACUAGAAACACGACGUGACCAUUUUAACAUUGCCGUACAGCUCGAAAUUACUUCGGGAAACUUAGAGGAAUUAUGCUACUAAUUGAACUUACUGUCAAAGAUCGUGAAAUGUAAUAAUUGUUUAAAAUUGGAAAUUAGUAUAAACUAUCGUAUUUUUCGUGUAUUUAAUUUAUAAAUACACGUUUAAUUUACAAUAUUAUUUUACUCGUCUAAAACAAUAUUGAAUUAUAAACAUAUCGAAUAUAUUUUCUAUUAUAAAUGAAUCUUAUGUUACUAUAUUCAUUAAUUUAAAUUCGAUUGAUUAUUAUAUUUGUAAUUUAAAUUCGAUACAUCUUCGCGCGCUAAUUACAACGCAGAACUCCCGCUCGAAAAGUAUCACGUGACCCGUCAUGCGCGGUGUCAUGUCGUUAAUUGCUCGUUGUGCGUAAUAAGUUGGAAUUGACAAGCCUUAGUGAAAUUUGUGAAUAAUACGAUAAUAAUAAAGUUUUCUGUGCGAAACAAGUUCUCUAUUUCCUGUAAUUAUCUACUCUGAAAGUGCAAACAGAUAUCACGUGAUUUUCCUGAAAUUAAAGAAUCAUCAAUUCAAGAAUCAUGUUCGCCAAAAUUUCGAUACUACGCAGUUCGUGUAUUUGCGUUGCAAUUUUUCUAACCUCUACGACGCUUUCGAGUUCAUCGUAUCAAGAGUCUGAAGACGAGGACGACGACGACGGGUAUCGGGGAAGACGUCGCGCGAUGAUCCUUGCUUGGCACGGGAUUACACGCGGGAAUCGGGGAUCGUGGGACGACGAAGGUUGGUCCAGGAAGGUAUAAGCUCUCCUCUCUCUUUCGACGAUGAAAGCUUCCUUUUGUCUCUCGUCGUGGAUAGCGUUGUUGCUGCUGGCACGUCUCCACGCCGUGCACGAUAAUAACCCCCACUGUGGUGGUAUACGAGAUCCUUGCUACGUUUCUCCCCCGGAUAUUGCGACUCCGCCUUGUUGUUGCGGGACAGAUCCGCAUCGCCGACGCGGAACGUCUCCUCGUCAUCUCCUCGUCCUCCUCCUCCUCCUCUUCCUCUCUCUUUCUCCGUGUAUACGUACGAAUCUGUUCGUUGAAACGGGCUCCGUUUCUGUCUUUGAUCGAUGCCCGGCUACGGUCUGAUAAAGGAAACAGCGCGCGCAUCUGAUCAAAGGGGUUGCUCCCCACGACGCUUUCGUUUCGAUUCCAAGGUAUUUAACGUGCCCCUCGCUAAUUUCCUAGUAAGGAAUCGAUACGAAUCGAUAGCAGUGGGACAAUGGAGGAGGAAAACGAUCGAUGAGGAUUCCUGGUACAAUAAUAUAUUCGAGGAACGCUGUUGUUGUUGUUGUUGUUGAUAUUGCGUGCAGUGGGAGCGUGGUGAAAACAUUGUGAGUUUCGCAUCGAGAGUUUGGUGUCGUAGGGGGGAGGGGGGCGAAGGCAAAGCCGCGAGCGCGGCGAUCGGCGGUCGCGUGACAAGAAUUGAUGCGGUCACAGGUACGUGGAGCUUGUUACGUGGACGGCAAUUAAUGCCUCGCUGCCGGCAAUUGUCAUUCAGAUGGUUAUCUGGAUCGGUCGGUGGCUCUCUGAUACCCGUACGAGUUGUCGGUAGACUCGCUGGCGCCGCUCACGGAUUUCUAUGCACGGGUCUCGUGCUGGUUUUCGGUUAGCCGCCUCUCCCCCGGUACGAUACGGAAAGAGUUGAAUGGAAAAUGGAAUAUGAAAAAUGGACGGCCAUCUUCCCCCCUCCUCGUCCAUAUAUCUUGCCUAUUCUGUGCGCGGCCAUUGAUCGAGCUCUGCCCAUAGAAUCUUCCGUUGAGCAUCGGAACGGGGGUUGACGUUUCAGCCUCCUCGCGAAAGCUCGUUCCCCGAAAGAAUUACAAUUACAAUCGGGCGCGGAUAGGCUGCUGCUACCACUGUUACCUUUGAAACCCGGCCGGCCGUAUCGCGACGCAGGGAUCGCGGGUCGGUUUUGAUCCGGCGUCGUCGUCGUCGCCGCUGCCAAUAGAAACCAGUUUGUACGACUCAUUCGCGGAGUCACGAAUAAAGUAACUUAUCGCGGCGUGUGUCGUACAAGCCGGGCAAUAUAUUUUCGUGCGGCUAGGAUGCGCCGCGAGCAACGAAAGCUCGUGGUUCACGAUAUGCUCCCCCCGCGAAACCGGCGUCCCUCCCCUUCGAUAACGGUAAUGGAAUACGUUCCGUGCCUCCUUUCCACGAGGAGCAUCGGAGUUUAUCGUCUGGUCUAACCGAGGCUGAACAGGCAGCAGAGUCACCGGUAUCGUUUGUACGUCUCUAUGGAUAUCGAUCUAGAAGCGGAAAGAUCGUGUAACACCUUCUAACUUCUUCCCUCGCCUCCCAGCUUCGCGUAAUCCGUUAGAGUCGGUAGUAAGAGCCGUUGUUUCGUUCGAUCGAUAAGCCCGCGUCACGAACGGAUCCACGAACGAAAUGAAUAACUGGUAUCUCGAAAAUGUUGGAAAUGUUCGGGGACGUUUAAUCGGGGAUUCAAUUGGUUUUUAAUUAACGAGCUAUCGGGGAGAGUAGUUGAACAAACGUGAGUCAGCAUAUUUUUUUUCACGCCCCAACGUUUGAUCCUAACGAUCCUCUGUCUGGGAAGAAUUCAAUCUCAAGAUUGGAAGAAAAAUGUGCUGUGUGAAAUAGUGCGUUGAAUUUAAGCUUUCCCGGUCGUGAUGUAACAAUUCCACGUAUCGUUUCGGAGAACGGUACGCCUCCUGGAUCGGGUACAAAUCUUGGUGAACGGAAUCCCGCGCGGAAUCCCGAAAGAUCCAUGGGACGGCUCAGUCAGCGUAUUUCACCGUGCAGAUAUUUAGACGUCGACUAAACUUUUCGCCAGCCCGAUUUGCAAAGAUGUGUACUCUUCUCGCGGCACUCGAGCGAGGUUUUCUUCGAGCAACGAUCGUGUGGCACGCUUCCAAAUUCGAUAAGGAUCCAGCGGACGUAGACGAGAGAGGAGCAAUUGGCCAACUUUGGGUCUGGCACGGCGAAAAGAAAAGCAAGAUGAACCGAAGCAGAUAGAGGGAUUUAUUAUCGCCCUCCUAGAUCCCCUCCUCUCCUCUCCUAACUUCCUUCCUUCUUCAUCACCACCCAUUAAGCGUUCUGGCCGAUUAACAGGCAAAAAAAAAAAAAAAAAAAACGGGUACUGGAAGAAUAUGUUACGGAUUAAGCGCAAACGAUGGCGCAAAAUGGCCAGAGAGAGUCGAUAAAGCUGGGAACGAGCUCUUGUAUUCUUCGUGCGAAAAAAAGGGGGGGAGGGGGAAAAAAAAAGCGAACGAUCGUUACAUUCGUGUCGGAUACGAGGGCGAUAUUUUCGAACGAACUAUUCGAAUCAAUUAUCCGUCGUAAAAUUUAGUUAUCCGUAGAUGGCAAUAUCUCUUUGACGAACGUGGUAAUAAAUGUUGCAUUAACUCGAUUAUUUAAGCGAUAUUGGGAAUUGAUUCUGUGAUUGAAAUUCUACAUGAUUUGAUAUAAAAUUGGUUUAAAAAGAGGAUGGAAUACGGUACGUUUCGGUGAGUAACGGUAUGAAACGAACGGUCUAAUUAUCAUCCACUCGUCGAGGAUCCAUUCCACAAGAUUCGAAGAGAUUAACCUUUUAACGUGACUCUUCCCGCCUAAUUAUAUUGAAAAAAUUCAAUUUCCGUAUUUAUUCUUUUCUCUCGAAUCUCAAGCGAAUCGAACGCAAAACAACAACUUCCCCCUCCUCUCCUCCUCCUUCCCUCGACCAAUGAAUCUUUCCAUGAAUUAAACAUGUUACAAUUACCGUAUACAAAAUUGUUCGCGUAUGAACAAGCGAAUAACACGCAAUCGAAGAGUAGAACGUCACUCGACCCAGUUACAUAGGUUUCGCCGAGUUCCACGUACUUGGAAUAAAGAAGGAGCCGUUCGAUCAAGGAAUAACGAUAAUUUCCAUACUCAAAUCGAAAAGAAAAAAAGAAAAAGUAAGAAAUAAAAGGAAUAGAGAAAUUAUUAGAGACCGAGGAAAUUAUUAAUCGCUCUCGAAUCAUUCGCGAAACCAUCGUAUCCACAACACCGGUGGUCGCUCGCGCAGACGAUUGUCUGCAGGCUUUAUAUAUAUAUAUAUAUAUCGGUACUAUUCCCGGUAACGAAGGACGAUCGAGAGACAGAGAGAUGACGUCAGGAUAGGAGGAACCGAUAGGAGGAUAGGGGAGAGAAAGGGAAAGAGAGAGCCGUCAUAUUGACGUACAUGCAUUCCGGUCGGCACAUAUUUGUAAUGCAAAUCUUCGCGGAGGUCGAACGGGGGUGGAGAUGGUGGGUUUGGGGGAGUUAGCUGGCGCGGAUAGAAAGGGCCGUCCAUGAUAUACACGCCGAUGACAAAUAGCCAGGGAGAGAGAGUUGGCUCGGUGCGCACGAUAUUACGAAGGGAUACGCCCAUACAUUUCGCGCCGCCAACGUCCACCACCGUUCGAUUUCCUUCCGUUUUCCCUGCAAAUUCUGCAUCCGUUUUUCCGCGUCCCACUCGAAACCUCUUUUUGCCGAGACCAAGGCCAAGAAUUGUUUCCGAGUCGACUCGAGCGAGCGUACACGCGGUCGGCGAGAAUUGGUUUCCGAAUCGUUUUUUCAGAGGGAAGAAUCGAACAGAACGCGAUUGCGAAGGUGUCACUCAAGCCAUGUAUAAUUCCAUGGUGAAUUUGUUUCGUCGAGAUUAACGGGGAAGUCCAUGCAAAGUUGCAAAAAAAUUCUCUUCGGGGGUUCGUCGAUCUUUCUUUCGUCCUCUCUCUCUUUCUCUCUGUCAUUUGCAACGCUUCGUUUGCAUCCCCCCUUCCAUCGAUGGGGGAUAUUUUUCGUGGACAGAAAUGUUUCUGACGUGUAUCCUUCCUCCUUCCGAUCGUUCGUUACUCUUAUCACACAUCGACGUGCUUCCACUUUAUACUAUAGGCGAACCGUUGGAAAGGAUGAUCGAAAUUUGCCGGGGACAAAAAUGCGGAACGGUUAAUUCAACAGGCCGAAGGUACACACGGUACGCGAUACGAGGCGAAGCGCGAUGUGAAAAUAUAAAUAUACGCGACAGGGGAGGUUCGUCGACCUGCCCUAUCCAUUUAUAACUCUUUUAUAACCCUCUCUCGUUGGCCGCGGCCGUGACGCUUCAUUUAUCCUGUGAUCAGCAGUGGCGCGCGCGCGUACACACGUACAGUGGGGGUCCCCGAUCAUCCCUCUUCCGGCCGCGCUCUUCUGUGGCAGAAAAUUAUGUCUAAGCAUCGCGUCUAAAAACCGACAAAAGGCGGCGGUGGCGGGUAAACGCAAGAAGGACGGCCGGUCUGCAUUGUCAAAGGGGGGGAUGCGCGUCGCUGCUCGUCGAUCGUCAAAGCCUCGUCAACCCUUUCGAAAGGAAAGGAAGGAGGAGGAGGAGAGACGCGCGCUGGAUCUAGCAGGGAGAAGGAGAUGGACGAUGAGGGGGGUUGGGUCGCGUUGCCACGUUUUGCGGAACGCGCGCACGCUACGGCGAAAGGAUCUUCUCUUUUAUCUUUUACCCUUUCUUCUCCCGUGUUGCACUCGAAAAAGAAAGAUAGCGAGGGCGGAGUUAUAGGUAGAUUGCUCUUGUUUCACGAGAACGGAGGCAAAGGGGAACCGUUUCGAGGAAGAGAGAAGGGAGAAAGGACAGAGGGUUCCGUGUUCUCGAACCACAACGAACCAAGCGGCGACCAAGCGACCAUUGUACAUAGAGAUCUCCCUCGGAGGCGAUCUGCUAAUACGUCUUGCACACCCUGCGGCUGCUAUCCGUCUUUCGUUCGCCUCCGGAUUUCCUUCCUUCCUAUUCGCCUUUCAUUCGAAACCAACUUUUCAAAUCCUAGUGUUUUUCCUAUUAAUCUUCGUCCUUUUAAUCCUUUGUGUUUCUUUAACGCAUCGUAUUUUCGAGUCGAUCCUCGUUCCAAACUUUCCAUUCGAUAUUUUUUCUCGGUUAAUCUAAGAGAAUCGAGAAACAGCGACAAUUCAUGAGAAUUCGUCGCAUCGAUUCCUUCGAAAUAAUCCGUGAUUCGUGACGCAGAUUCUUCCAUUCUUCGAAUUUUCUUCUUUUCUCACCAUUGUCACACCCAUCUAUCGAACGAUUGAGCCCAAGAUGCACUCCACUCGCCUGCUAUAAAUGCAUCCGUGUCCUUUAAUCUUUGAUCGUGGUCAUCCAACGCCAUCCGCUAUUGCACGUCGUUGCAUAUGGAUACGCGUGUUCGCUUUGUUAACCACGGGGACACGAGUGGAACGAUCUCCACGCGAAAGGUGACGUCUUCUCCCGCCUUGGGACGCUACAUCCGCGACACAUCUGCGAAGAUGCGCAGACGAUAAAAUGUUCAUUUCCUCAACCAAGGUUACGUGUCGUUCUCGACGAACCGUGAGAAAGAUUAGAAAAUGGCACUUAUACAAAUACUGUAUAAUGCGCCAUUGAUUUUCUAAUUGCUUGUUUUCGUUAUUAGGCGAACCAUAAAAAACCAUAUGCGUAUAUUUAUAGGAGAGUAAUAGGAUUUCAAGGGACAGCUAUUAUCACGUAUAAAAUAUCGCAUAAAAAGUGAUGAAUAUGGAGAAAAUAUUAUAAAGAAAAUGAUUCAAUGUUUUUUUUUUCUUUAUAAUAUAUUUUCUCUGAAUAAUAAUCCAUCCUGCAUUUUGUUUACGUCGAUUUCUUCGCGAUCAUUUAUAUAUUGGUCGAUCAUAUAUCAUCUAUUAAUAUCUUUUUUUUUUUUUUCUAAAAUGAAAUAUCUCGAAUAGACGUCAAUCGUACGAGAAAUCACUAAGGUUUCGAAAAACACAAUCGAACAAAAUGAAUCCUCCGGCUUGCCGGAGGAAGAAAAAGCGGCUCUUAUCGAGCGGAGCGAGCCGCAAUAACCGCUGGGUCACUGAUUAAUUUCAUUUGUCAUCGACUUGUCGAUGAGCGAACGCGAUUUCAAGGGUCCGGCCAGCCGCUGUACCCCAUUACGAUCUGUCCUAGACGUCGAGGGCGAUAAUUUGUUCGUCGUCCAAUCGCGGCUGGAAGAAACGACAGAAGUGACGUUGACGGAAACGCGUUUUUCGGGAUCGCGAGAGAACUCGUCAAAAUUAAUCGCCGCGUCCAUGUUCUAACCACCGUUUUCCGUUCGGCGCCUAACGAUAUCAGAACGGCGAAACGAUCGUUGUUAACGUCGCUUCCGUAAUUGUCGCGGCGAAUUCAUUCGAUUCGUUCCAUUCCUCGUUCGUUCGUUUACUUUUUUUAUUUUUUUUCCCCCCCUCGUUUGAUUUUUUCAUUUGCCUCUUAGGAUCCGAUCUUCCGAUUAUAAAAUGAAAUAUUUUCGUUUUAUCCCAUGAUCGUUUCGAUUAUAUUAUCCGAUUCGCUACGUCGAGCAUUAAAUUUACAAUUGAAUUUCGAGCGAUCGAUUAUUCCUUCGAUGCUCACAUCCGAUGUACUCGGGAUUGAAUGUCUCGUUUCAUUAAAAAUGUUUUAAUGAAUAAAUUUUUAACCGCGUAUCAGGGAGGAUAGAGGGGAGGGAGGGGAAAGUUAACCAACGAUCUCCCUGAUUAAAACUUCUAAUUAUUUAUACGCGUGCACAACAAAGUAUCAAAUGUUAUUCGUCGCGCUUCUUUGAAUGCAACGGGAGCCAACUUCUAUUCACAAAACACGUACAACCGGUGAUAUCGGGCGUGGAUUAAAUUUUUCGCGUAAAGUGGAAAAUUUAUUAUAAUUUUAUCCGAUCCAGCUCACCUCACCCAGGAAUAUGAAUAACUUAUUCAUUAAGCGUAUCAAGGCCUUUCCUCUCUGUUGCCUGCGAUUCAAUCAAUUCUUUCGAGCCGCUCUGCUUUUUAAUCCCUUUGUUACCCCCCCUCGUGACUGUAUUAUAGAUCAUACAUAUCUAUCUAUAUCCAUCUAUAUCUUCCCUAUAUAUAUAUAAUCUUUCAUCUUCUACUCUUUGCAUUUUUUUUUUUUACUUCAUCAAGCCAAAACUUAAGAUAUUCGAAAUACCCUUCGACCCGUUUGAUCCCGUCUCGCAUCCUUUUCUCCCUUCCUUCCCUUUGUCUUCGUUCCUCCCACGAGUCAAUUACCUCGCGGACAUUGCCGGAUAUAGAAUAUUAAGGUAGCGCCGGUGGCGGACGUUACAACGGUGACGGGCAUCGGGGAUCCAAGUUUUAACUACUUCCGAGAUCGGGUCUACAAUAAUCCAGGACUCGGCUGCCACCGACUUAACGACAGCCGGUAGGGGGAAGAGCGGAUGGGGAAACGAAACGUAGCGGAGAAAAAUAGGGGUAGGGGAGGACGAUUCAACGGAAGAAACACGUUGUCGGCGAUGUCGAAAUGGAUUCCAAGCUUUAUAAAGUCUUGUCUUUUCAUUCGCUUCAUUCGAUUUGUUUUUCCACGGUGGUUGUUGUGAUUUAUUGGUUAAUCGUUCGACGAUUGAAUAAUUCUUUCUUACGUAGCAAAAAUAGAAGUUACGGAUUAUAUUCAUUUGAAAUUUACUAAAAUGUCUCUAGCAUUUUAUUUUAUUUUAUAUAUUUGAAAUUCUAUGUAUUUUAGAAUUUAGAAUUUAUAUUUUUCUAAAAAGGCAGAAAGAAAAUGAGAACUUAAAGAAAUAGCAGAGUACGUUAAUGUUUGAUAAUCCGAAAUUUUCAUUUCGUCUACUAUUUAAUCGUAGAAUAAAUAAAUCAGGCUCUCUAUCUAAAUCUUACUUUCGAACAAUUUUUGAAAUUGAGAAAUGACAAUACACGGGAAAUUUGGAUUCAACUAACAUUACAACGAACAUAUUUAUAUUUAUAUUUUUCUAAAAAGGCAGAAAGGAAACGAGAACCUUUUUAAUUUUAUAUUAUUCAGAAUAUAUAGAUAAAGACACUUUAAAGAAGUAGCGGAGGGAACACUUUUUCACGGUUUACUUAAACCAGCUGCUUCGCUUCACAAAAUAUCAUUGUAUUUAACAUUUCUAAACGUUCAAUAACCCGAAUUUUUCAUUUUUUCGCGCUAAUCGUAGAAUAAAUAAAUCAGACUCU